GAUGAACGCUGGCGGCGUGCCUAAUACAUGCAAGUCGAGCGAACAGACGAGGAGCUUGCUCCUUCGACGUUAGCGGCGGACGGGUGAGUAACACGUAGGUAACCUACCUAUAAGACUGGGAUAACUUCGGGAAACCGGAGCUAAUACCGGAUAAUAUUUCGAACCGCAUGGUUCGAUAGUGAAAGAUGGCUUUGCUAUCACUUAUAGAUGGACCUGCGCCGUAUUAGCUAGUUGGUAAGGUAACGGCUUACCAAGGCAACGAUACGUAGCCGACCUGAGAGGGUGAUCGGCCACACUGGAACUGAGACACAGUCCAGACUCCUACGGGAGGCAGCAGUAGGGAAUCUUCCGCAAUGGGCGAAAGCCUGACGGAGCAACGCCGCGUGAGUGAUGAAGGUCUUCGGAUCGUAAAACUCUGUUAUUAGGGAAGAACAAACGUGUAAGUAACUGUGCACGUCUUGACGGUACCUAAUCAGAAAGCCACGGCUAACUACGUG
rnacentral:rRNA from 1 species